ACUCUCUUUCCUUAUCCACUCCCACAGCCACACCACUUGUUUUACUCAGCUCGAGAGUGAGGAGGAGGACGAGCGCCGCGGUGCUCGUCGAUGUGAAGCUCUAGGACGGCGCACUCCGGGUCCCCGCCGACCGGCUCAAGUGGGGCGAGUGGCCGCAGCGGCCGUCGAGGCCGCCUCCGUCUGCGCGCACAUCGACUGCUCAACCUGGCGGCCAUCAUCGAGUUUGGCGCGCUCCGGGUCCGCGCCGACCGACUCAACGGGGCGACGUGGGCGGAGAGCGAGCGCCGCCUGCUUGCCCGUGCCGCCGUGGCGAGCGCGGACGUCGAGGCCGCCUCCGUCUGCGCGCACCUAGCCGCCGUCCAUGGCCACUGAUGUGGCUGCUCUAGUCGCUCGGUGCGACUAUCACCUCCGAUGCGGCUAUUACCUCCGAUGCGGCUGGGCGUCCUUGCCGUAGCCACAGCCGGGGGGGAGGGCAGCGCACCCUAUGGCUUCAAGAUUGUGGAGGCGCACUACUCGAUGACGGGCGUGGCGGUCCUCCGCAUCAUGUUUUUGCUGCAAGGCUGCAGGGAGUCCAUGCUCGUCGUUGUUCGCCAGGUGACACCGCAGCCGCAGGUCGAGCUUGACCACCAUGGCGAACUGCAAAAGGCAUUUGGAUCCUUCCACUGCAGUUAUUGGGUUCUUUGUACGCUUUGAAGAUGAUAGUGUCGAUUCAGCAAAAGUGGUCAAACAGUGGAAUGUCAAAAUCAUAUCUAUAAGCAAGAAUAAAAGGCAUCAAGACAGACCGGCUGCUCUGGAGGUGUGGGAUCGGCUGGAUGAAUUUGUGCGGGCUGUACGUGUCUCUCUGGCUUAAUGACGCGGUGCUGCUGCUGCUACAAGGCGCUACCAAAAUUUUAAAUUAAGAAUUUGUUGGUGGUGAUUCAUUUUAAUUUUAUUGGCACGCUGCAUCUUUCAACAAGCUAAUGUUUGGUAUGACAAAACUACAGGGAACGGCACAUCCUCAUAUUACAAAGAUAGAAUCUAUAAGGUUUUACUCUUUUGUCCAUUCUGAUUAUGUUUUCUUGAAGCAAGACUUAAUUACUCCA